rnacentral:lncRNA from 1 species
UAAACAUAUUUUUUAUUAUUGAUUGAAUUUUUUCUGAUGAAUAUUGUAACGUAUCUUGUUUAUAUAUCCCAUAAGAUUUAAUUACGUAUCCAUUUUUUCUUAGAUUUUGGCUAAUUUAGUACAUAUGCAUUGAUAAUUAUACCUCAAAUUAAUUUGCAGAUUAAUGGAAGUGUUGAGGAAGGAUAAACUGAGAUUGGUGAGUGAUGAUGCAAUUGGAGUAGCAUAUAAUUUAACAAUUGAACGUUAGACGAUCAAAGUAAAAUACAUUGCUCACGUCAUUUUAUCAAAAAAUUUCAGCCUUCAACUAGAUUGGUAACGUAAUUUGAAAAAUAUAAAAUUGAAAAAAUAUAAAACUAAACGACGAAAGUGAAACACGACAUGCACUACAUAUUUAAGCUAGAUAUCCACAAGGCACUCUUGAUUAUUGAUGUUUGCAGCUAGACAACUCAUCACCAAAGAAGAAACCAAAGCAGCGAGCAUGGUUUGUUGGGCAUGAAAACCUCUAACUUGUAGUACUACGUUUGUGUUCUAUCUAUUCACAACAUAAGAUUUCAUAUAAUUAAAAUGCCACGAGCACAUGUUCGCUGUUGACAAUUUGUUUUGCAUUAAUCGCUCUAAUUUCAAUAGUAAUGCCAAGAACUAUUCAAUUUCCAAUGCUUAUUUGCAUGAACGUCUAACUGACAUGUGUGGGUCAAUCUCAUAAAUAUCCAUAAAAAAGGUCACGAUUAGUGUAUUAGCCAAAUUUUUUCUGUCACAAAUACCCUAAUCAUCAACUUUUGGUCACGUUCUUUUGUGCCAAAGAUACCAUUGUC